AGGCACAGGUAGUCACCAUCCUGGUUUUUUUCAUCCCAAUAAAGCUCUUGUGUGAGGUUUGUUGUGUGCUGUGACUUUGUCAUAUCCCUUGGCUCCCAACUGUCACGAUACCUUUCCAUCUGAGCUGCAAUGCUUACAUUUGGCGCCAAAACCCUGGAUAGGCUCUCCUAGUGCCCAAAUGUCCCCCUCGUGGUUGAAGCUGCACUGGGACCUGAUCCUUCAUCUCAAGUCCACCUGCAACAGACUCACCUUCAUGCUCACCAAUGGCUCAGCACCCCAUCUACCAGCAGCAAUCAGCCUCUGUGGUUUCCCUUUCUCCUUCCUCAGCGACAGGCUGCCCACCUGACAGGGACCCUGGAUGGAGUUACAAUACCCCAGGAGAAUUCUUGCUUGGGGAUCAAUUUGUAACUUGCCUCCUGGCUGAUCUUCACAAGGAUCCUUUUAAAGAGAACCUUCAUCUAGUAAUUGAUGGAAGCAGAUGCAGAGAUCCACAGCUAAGCACUGGAUUGAACUUCUGGAGUCCAGUCAUAGAGAGGGAAGAACAACAAUAUGAGCAAAGGAAUCAAGACCAUGCUGGGGAAAUCCAAAGAAAGCUGACCUGAGCAAGUGGGAGUUCACUGACUCCAGACUGACAGCUGAGAACCUGUAUAAGACUGAACUAGGCCUUCUGAAUGUAGGUGACAUUUGGGUGGCUUGGGCAGUUGUGUGGGGCCACUGGCAGUGGAACCAGUAUUUAUCCUUAGUGCAGGAACUGGCUUUUUGGAGCCUAUUCCCUGUGGAGGGAUACCUUGCUCAGCCUUGAUACAAUAGGAAGGGACUUGGUCCUCCCAUAACUGAUGUGACAAACUUGGUUGAUUUCCCAUGGGAGGCCCUGGGAGUAUAUGGGGACAUGGAGUGAGGAGGUGUGAUGGGGAGGGAGCAUGGGAAGGAGAAGAAGCUGGGAUUGGUAUGUAAAAUAAGAUUGUUUUAAGACUAAAAAAUAAAG
rnacentral:lncRNA from 1 species